rnacentral:lncRNA from 1 species
AGGAUGCUCUGGAGUUUUGGCUGCAAGCUGGCGUGGAUGGGUUCCAGGUUCGGGACAUAGAGAAUCUGAAGGAUGCAUCCUCAUUCUUGGCUGAGUGGCAAAAUAUCACCAAGGGCUUCAGUGAAGACAGGCUCUUGAUUGCGGGGACUAACUCCUCCGACCUUCAGCAGAUCCUGAGCCUACUCGAAUCCAACAAAGACUUGCUGUUGACUAGCUCAUACCUGUCUGAUUCUGGUUCUACUGGGGAGCAUACAAAAUCCCUAGUCACACAGUAUUUGAAUGCCACUGGCAAUCGCUGGUGCAGCUGGAGUGUGAGUACCAUGCUGGUGGGAAAGGGGGCAGAUGGGAGAAGAAAGGGUUGUUGGGAGACAGAGGCAGAGGUGGGUUAUGGGGCUCACUGGAGUGUCUCUCCCUGUAGUUGUCUCAGGCAAGGCUCCUGACUUCCUUCUUGCCGGCUCAACUUCUCCGACUCUACCAGCUGAUGCUCUUCACCCUGCCAGGGACCCCUGUUUUCAGCUACGGGGAUGAGAUUGGCCUGGAUGCAGCUGCCCUUCCUGGACAGCCUAUGGAGGCUCCAGUCAUGCUGUGGGAUGAGUC